CCGGGGGGCUGGCUGCUGCUUCUCCCUUAAUGGGAACAGUGCAUUAGCAACUGGUUUCCUGGUGGUCUUGUUAGGGCCCGGGAAGGACUGGGCGACCCAGCUCUGUGCCCGCAGGGGGCAUGUUGGUGGGCACCACCGGGCCCCAUUCUCAUCAACUCUGUGGUGUGAAACCCUUGUCACAGUGGGUGACAACGGAACAACUGAAGCAGGGAGGACAACAGACCACUUGGUCAUGAGGCAGAACACUGGGCCUGGCUGGAGCUGCAUGCUCAGGGCACCCCCACGUCACCUUUAAGGGAAGAAGAGCCCCCCGAGCUUAACCUUGAAGGCAUGGCUGUGGUCCUGUUGGGGGACCACAGGCUGAGGCCCAGGCACCUCUGCUGAGGCUGAACCAGCUCCAGCACUCUUACCUGGAAGCUGUUCCAUCCCACGCUGUCGGAGCUGGGGCCUGAAGGUGGUGUGGGGUCACUUAGGCCUGUAGAGAAAACAAGACAGGGGCUGGCCUGAGGGAACCAGUGGCAGAGCAAAAAUAGAAACCAUUGUCCCAAGAGCCAUCCUGCAGCCCACACUUGCUUCCUCUCUUCCCCGCAAGGCCCCACAGAAGCCAACUUAUGGGCAGAAGUUGGAACUUUCACCUCUGCCCCUCAGCAGCUAAGAGUGGGAGCUGAGGUCGUGAGGAGGAGAGGACAGCCUGAGCUCACGGGUCCAGGUGAGCAUCUGUGGGCAAGUGCUAUCCUGGGUGAACCUGUGUCCGUGUGGACCAUGGCAAGGUGGAUCAGGUAGACUGAAGACUCUGGCAUUAGUCAAUAAGGCCAACUGAUUGGUGCUGGAGGGCCCUGAGGAGUGGCCCUGGCUGGCAGGAAACCAGCAUGAGCCCUGUCUGUCCUGAACACCUCAGCCAAGCGUCCCCUGUAUUUGACUUAGAGAAGAUGAGAGACCCGUUUUCAGCAGGUGCUCUCCAGCAGGCAGGGGACCAGCAACUGUCAGGUCUCCCUAUGGUGGUCCUUGACGACCCCAGAGGGAGGUGCUCAGUGCUGUCAUGGCUUCUAGUGGGGUGACGGUGAGCGCCUUUGGAGACUGGCUCCGCGGCAUCUACCGCUUCACCACCGAUUGGAACGACUUCCGGAGGAACUUGAUCCUCAAUUUAGGACUCUUUGCCUCCGGAGUUUGGCUGGCCAGGAACCUGAGUGACACUGAUUUGAUGGCCCCUCAGCCAGGGGUGUUAGCCAGAUAAUGGAAUUCCUGUGGUGUACUCCAACUUCCCAAGGACAGCCUGCUGUCUCGGACCACGAGAUACUACCCUGGUGGCAGCUGAAGUUGACCCCUCUCCUUGCCUGAACCUCCACCCCACCCCUCCACCCCGGGCAGCCCCCAGCUUCAGCUGGGAUGUUGCCUCUGCACAGUUCUGUGUGCAGUUCCCAAGGUUCUGCAGAGGGUGAUCUUUGCCCCUGUCCUGAGGAGUAGUGAUGGUUCUUGAAAAAAAUAUUUCAAAUAAAGCCUGCUCACAAAGAAAAAAAAAAA